GAUGAACGCUAGCUACAGGCUUAACACAUGCAAGUCGAGGGGAAACGAUAUUGGAAGCUUGCUUCCGAUAGGCGUCGACCGGCGCACGGGUGAGUAACGCGUAUCUAACCUGCCCAUCACUUGGGGAUAACCUUGCGAACGUAAGACUAAUACCCAAUGAUAUCCGUCGAAGACAUCUGAAGUGGAUUAAAGAUUCAUCGGUGAUGGAUGGGGAUGCGUCUGAUUAGCUUGUUGGCGUGGGAACGGACCACCAAGGCAACAAUCAGUAGGGGUUCUGAGAGGGAGGUCACCAACAUUGGAACUGAGACACGGUCCAAACUCCUACGGGAGGCAGCAGUGAGGAAUAUUGGUCAAUGGACGAGAGUCUGAACCAGCCAAGUAGCGUGCAGGAUGACGGCCCUAUGGGUUGUAAACUGCUUUUAUAAGGGAAUAAAGUGGGAGUCGUGACUCCUUUUGCAUGUACCUUAUGAAUAAGGACCGGCUAAUUCCGUGCCAGCAGCCGCGGUAA
rnacentral:rRNA from 1 species